AGUUCUUUUGUCUUUCUUUUUUUGUUUUUUUCUUUCUUUCAACGGAAAAGGCUCAAAUAUGCCAUCGAACUAUCAGAAAUGGCUCAUUUAUGCCACUCGUUGAAAGUUUGGCUCAAAUAUGCCACUGCCGUUACCUUUUUGGCUCAUCCAUGCCAUUAUUCACUAACGGUGGUUUUAAAAUACCAGAUAUGCCACGUGGCAAAAAUUUAUUGGUCCACGUCACUUAAAUGAAAACCAGCCAAAAUAAAUCCUAAUUAAACCAACCCGACCCGUUGACCCGACCCACCCAUCUUAUACCUAUUUCUUUGCCCCUCUUUCAUUAUGUUAUAACGAUUAAGCCCUAAUCAAACCCAUCUCCUCUCCUCUUCUUCCAACAUCCAUUUCAAGCAAACAAAUGUGACUUUCCAACUUUUUUUUGAAGGAUUAAAGGAAUAGCUCAUCAAGAAUGAUUGACAAAGUGGAAGUAUUAUUCAACUUUGGGGGUGAAUGGGUCUUUACUCCUCAGAUAUUAUAUAAUAAGAAUCUGGUACAUUAUUGGCAUGGGUUUGACCCAGAUUUGCUGUCUUAUAAAGACUUAUGUGAAGAGUUUGAAAAAGAGAUGAAUUUUUUUAAAGUUAAACAACUCUUAGUUACUGGACCAUCUGGUAGGUACUACAUAAUUGAUGGAGAUGAUGGUAUUAGGGCUUUGCAGUGCCUCCUUUGUUAUGAGUUUAGUAAGAUUAACUUGUUUGCUGUAGAUGAUACUGAUUUGACAGUCCAUACUCAUAACAUUCUUCAACAUUUAGAAACAUAUCAUGUAGAUGUUGAGAUAGCAUCUGAUGAUGAACUUGGUCUUGGGGACUCUAAUUCUCAUGUUGAUGCUCCAUCUGAUGUUGAGUAUGAUGAAGAAGAACGUGAGGGUUUUAACAACCAAAGGAGGAGAGUAGUAAGUGAUAGGUUGGAGAAUUUUAAGGAAUUGGAGAAGGGUAUGACAUUUUCUGAUAUUGUGGAAGCUAGAAGAAUAAUGAAUUACUAUGCAAUGGCUAAUGGUUAUGGCUUGAAGAUUAAAAAAACAGAUCCCACUAGGCUAGGUAUGCUUGUAGAGAUGGAUGUCCUUUUAGAUGUUCUAUUUCAAAGGAUAAAAAGAGCUCCACUUUUUGUAUCCAAACCUUGAAACCAAAGCAUGAUUGUGAACCAUGUUAUAAAAAUCCAAGGGCUGAUGCUAAGACAUUAGCACAAUAUUUUAAGAGAAAGGUGCAAAACAAUCCAAAAUACACUGUUAAGGACAUGAGAAUGGAAUUGGAAAAGGAUUUCAAUUUGAAUGUGACAAGUUCCAAGGUUAAAAGGACUAAGUUGAUGGUCCUUGAAAAGUUAGAAGGCAAUUUCAAAGAUGAUUUUAACAAGCUUGAAGCAUAUGGGGCUGAAUUAAAACAGUCUAAUCCGGGGACUGAUGUCGCAAUCCAGAUUUCAAAAGAUGCCUUUGAGCAAGGUAAAAGGAGGUUCUUGAGGAUGUACUUGUGUUUUAUGCUUUGAAGCUAGGUUGGAAAAGUGGCCUGAGACCACUUAUUGGUUUGGAUGGUACUUUCUUGAAGGGAAAAGUCCAAGGUCAGUUGUUGGUUGCCAUGGGACAAGAUUCUAUGAACCAAUUCUACCCAAUUGCAUGGGCAAUGGUUGACAAGGAAACCACCAGAACAUGGUCAUGGUUUGUGGAGCUUUUGAAGAGGUCUUUGGAUUUAAAAGAUGGGGCUGGAGUGACCUUUAUUUCUGAUAUGCAAAAGGGGUUAUUGGAUUCUGUGAGAAAUGUUCUUCCUCAAGCUCAUCAAAGAUAUUGUGCUAAACAUAUUGAAGCCAAUUGGUUAAAAAAAUGGAGGAGUGGGGAAAUGAGAAAGUUGAUGUGGUGGUGGGCUUGGAGCACAUAUGAUGAAGAGUUUAAAGAUCAACUCAAAAAGCUAGGCAAAUUGGAUGAAGUUGCUGCUAAGGACUUGGUAAGGAUUUCACCUGAGGCAUGGUGUAGAGCAUACUUUGAUACCAACUGUAAGAACUCAAUGGUUGACAACAACUUCACAGAAUCCUUUAAUUCUUGGAUUCUACAAGCAAGGGUAUGCCAAUUAUCAAAAUGUUGGAGGAAAUAAGGGUCAAGGUAAUGGCCUUGCUAGGAGAUAAUGAAGACAAAGCUAGGAGUUGGAAAACUAAUUAUAGUCCACAGUGCAUGAAGUUGUACAAUGAUUAUAGGGCAAUAGCACAUGGAUGCAUUGUUAACUUUAAUGGUGAUUAUGGCUAUGAGGUGUCAGAGGGUGAUGAUAGACAUACUGUCAACUUGGAGCAAAAUAGAUGCACCUGCAGGAUGUGGGACUUGUCUGGGAUACCCUGCCCUCAUGCCAUUAAGGCAUUUUUGCAUAAGAAUGUUGAUCCAGUGACACAAAUUCACUGGUUUUACAGUAAAGAAGCCUAUCUGCUGACAUACAAGCAUAAAAUGCAGCCUGUUAGAGGAGUACAGUUCUGGAAAGUUGAACCUGCUCAUGCAAUGGAGCCACCUGGAAUAAUCAAAACAGUUGGAAGACCCA